AGGUGACAUUACAACAGUUGAAGCGACAGUUUAUUGGAAGAUCUUGUUACCUGAAAAUUUUUCUGUCUUGGAUGCAUCCAUGUGGCUUCUGGAAAAUAUAUGGUGUUGUGAAGAGGGAUCCCUCAUGUCAUACUGUACCUAUUGCUCCCUGUCACACUGACGACACCAUUAUUAAUGUACAGCUUCCCAUCUGCAGAGGUAUGUUAAGCACCUCAGCUUUGGUAUUGCCCACAAAGAGCUUAGGGACAUUGUAGGUCUCGUUGCAGGUGAGCUGAAACCCCUCACGUUAGCAACCAGCGCCAAUACCAAACAGGUAAGGUACACUGACCUCACCGCACUUGCUAAUGCAACCAGGCAAUGCUAUGUUGGUGGCUGCGGGGAGCACUGGUGUGACAGCCAGGAGCUCUAGGAGGUGCAGCAUUGCUAUGGCUACCACAUGCAUCAUAUGAUUUUGAGGAGUGAAGCAGAGAGCCAUGGUUCAACUUGUAACACUGGAAUCUUCUCCUAAAUAUGAAGGGUGUGAUCGUGCAAUUCUGUGGAUGCAAUAAAAUAAGAGAAAAGAGGGAUCUUUAUUUAGUUAGGAUGAAAAUUACAAUCUUACUUCAAGAGGUCAACAACAUACGAAGACGCUUGCUUCAACCAUAUUGCACUAUGGAUAUUCCGUCUAGCUGAAUGAGCAAGUUUAUAGGCAACUAUUACAAUUUCUUUUGACCUUUUUUAAUCUCCCACUCGAGCAAUAGCUACAGAUAUUUUUGGCCCUCAAGGAUGGUCCAUCGGAGCUCCCACUUAUCCUCGUCUCCUAAAGUAACGACUAGUCUGAUUUUAAACUCCAAAAUAGUUGGGCAGGACACCACUAUGAAGCUAGUCA